GCCGGGGUAGCUCAGCCAGGUGGAGCGCCCGGCUGUUAACCGGGCGGUCCCGGGUUCGAAACAUAGCCUAUGAGGCUAUGCGGGAAUCCCGGCCCCGGCG
rnacentral:tRNA from 1 species